GGCAUAGUUGUAGGUGACUUGCACCAGAGCGACCGG
rnacentral:scRNA from 1 species